rnacentral:rRNA from 1 species
AGUUGGUAAGGUAACGGCUUACCAAGGCAACGAUACGUAGCCGACCUGAGAGGGUGAUCGGCCACACUGGAACUGAGACACGGUCCAGACUCMUACGGGAGGCAGCAGUAGGGAAUCUUCCGCAAUGGGCGAAAGCYUGACGGAGCAACSCCGCGUGAGUGAUGAAGGUCUUCGGAUCGUAAAACUCUGUUAUCAGGGAAGAACAAAUGUGUAAGUAACUGUGCACAUCUUGACGGUACCUGAUCAGAAAGCCACGGCUAACUACGUGCCAGCAGCCSGGGUAAU